rnacentral:rRNA from 1 species
CCCCCACCGCCGCAGCCACACCUUAUUUCUACAACCACCAAGGGGGAGUAGGGCCGCUUCGGAAACGGCCUUGGCCGCUUGAUAGCCGAAAUCCACGAGAGGCUAGGAAGCUAUACCACUCGAAACCACGAGGCUCGUUUCGCGACCUAGACGGUCGCAUCCAAACACCAGUGACCUAGAAACGUCCAAGAAGAGGAGUUGCCGCUUAACCAUUGCCACUGAUGUCAUCUGACAAAUUCGUUGAUUCGUUGAGUUCAGGGUACCGCUAAUGUUUAGUACUCACCGACGACGUGAUAAGAAAUAAACUGCCAGAGAUACACCUCCCAAAGUCUUGAAAGAGAUCCACAUCUGGCCUAAUCAUCGCCAUGUGCGAACGUUGAUCGUUUUUAACGUUCUACGUCCCAACGCAAAAGAGAAAGGUUACGUACCACCUACUGGCGAUUACAUACACCCUAUACCUACAGAAGUAUAAACACCACCCAUGUUCAUUACAAUUUAACUUUAAACUCCGGGAGAAAAGUAAUGUUGGUCAUCGUUUUAAAUCCAAAACCACUCUUCUUUCCACUUGGAUUACCGAUAUCGUGAUAACUCUUCUUACAAAGUCAGUGACCUCUUUAACUCCUUGUUUACUUCAACUAUCUUCUUUCUCGUUAUUUCUAGAUAAUUUGUAUAUAUAUCUAACGAACCGUUAUUUCUAGCUGUAUUUUAUCGUAAUGAACAAAACCCG